UGGGAUUUUCCUGAGUGUAAAGUGCAUGGAUUGUCUUGUAAAUAUAAUCACCUAACUAUGGAUACUGAGCAGUAAGUUGUUCUCUGAAUUGUGAACAAUUAUGGUUUCUGUGAUGUUCUCUAUUUGAUGUAAAAAUUGUAGCACUUCAUAUCUUAGGGAUAACCAACAGCUACCUAAUUUAAUUUAAGGCUUAUUCAAUUGGAGGGAAUUCCUGCCCAUCACUGUUAACCUACCAGCUUCCUGUGGCUGAUGAAGCCAUAGACCCUAGAGGAGAAACUACUGCUUCCAUGUUCCUAAUCAGUGUAAUUCCCAAUGGCAUUAUAAAUAGAAUAUUAGCUCUUGCCUUUCAUAUAAAAUUGUUCUAAAAGAGGAUAGGUCUAGACUAACUCUUGAAGAAUUUUUUUGUCUAGUUUAAAUCAAUAACUUUUUAAAUACAUGGCCUCCCUCAUGGCCUGUUUCUAUGAAUACUGAUCUUCCCUCGCCUACCCCACCAGUAGGCUCAGCUACUUCACACCCUGUAGGCAUCACAUCUAGUUUGUCAGCUCAGUUCUCUGAGCUACUCUGAAGGGAUAGUUCUACUUCACCUCACAGGUCUCCUGGCCUCUUUGGGGUUUCAUUCCAAGUGCCCGCAGACAUACAGCCUUCUGCUGGAACUCUUUAGUGUAGCAGGCUCCUUCCCAUCUUAUGUGGGAUUCUCCAGGAUCUCCCUUCUCAGAAGUUCCAGGUAUGCAAUGCUACUCCUAACCAUAAAGUUCUCACUACACACCAGUUUCAAAAGAUCUUCCUCUAGUUAGAGGUUGACAAGAAGCCAUUCAAGAUAAGGAAGUCAGAGUUGGAAGGACAUUCCAGAAACCAGUACAAAAGAGCAGCAUUGAGGCAUGUUUUAGCUCUGAAUGUUUGUUUAAAAAUAAGUCCACAGUCAAUUCAAUGGAAAUUCAAUUCCAUGGUGAGGCCAGAGCUGCCUAACAGCAUUAAACAAAGACUGAAACUGAGAGCUACCAAAAUAAUGAACCACAACUGGCAAAGUUACAGAUAAAAACACUGCUUGAUGCUCAAACCUAAAUGAGACAUGUAUACCAAAUACCUUCUUCUCAAGUCUUGGAGAUCAUUCUGGAAAAAGGACAUCAAGAAUGUAAGAGCUAAUGACAGUGGUUGGACUACAAGGAAACAGUGGCUUCUGAACACAGCAAGGAAUUUUUGUAAUAGUAUGUUUUAAAUAAAAUUGCUAUGAAUUAUUUUAACAACCCAAUAAUUUACCAUAGUCAGAAAUAAUAUCAGAGUUAUACCAACAGAAAAGACUUUUCUUAACAUUUCUUUCUUUGGAGAUGGAAUCUCAAAAACAAAAAGAUUCAGAUGACUGGAAAUCCAAGGAGACUGCUUCACCAGAGUCAUGGGACUGAUGAUGCUUUGAUGUUAACUAAUCAAAUUCCAUUUCAGAUGUAUUACCUCUAAAAAUGAAGAUGAUAAACAUGCUUCAUUUUAAAUUA